UACGUAGGGUGCGAGCGUUAAUCGGAAUUACUGGGCGUAAAGCGUGCGCAGGCGGUGAUGUAAGACCGAUGUGAAAUCCCCGGGCUUAACCUGGGAACUGCAUUGGUGACUGCAUUGCUGGAGUAUGGCAGAGGGGGUGGAAUUCCACGUGUAGCAGUGAAAUGCGUAGAGAUGUGGAGGAACACCGAUGGCGAAGGCAGCCCCUGGGCCAAUACUGACGCUCAUGCACGAAAGCGUGGGAGCAAACAGG
rnacentral:rRNA from 1 species